GAGGACAGGCAUUCCAAACACUUCAGAUUUACAUACAGCCAAUUUAGAUUCUAAGUGUGUGUCAUGUUCAUUCGAACUUGGAGAAACGUCCCAGCAUGGGCAGGUCAGAUUUAUCAGCAAAAUUAUCCACAAAGAUAGGCAUUUUUACAUAUUUGGUUUAAUUGAAAGUGUUGAGUAUUUAGAGUAGAGUAGAGCAGAGAUAACAUCUCAUUUCCUUUCUUGUGACUAAGCGGUCACAGGCGUAUAAAAGAUGUAAGGUUGACAGAUUUGACACUGAAACAUAUCAUACUCCGAAGAGUUUGCUCUAUCACUGAGAGUUAAAAAAAAAUACUGUGAAUUUUCAUCAUGGAGCCAAAAACAGGACUUCUGAUUUGGUGGAUUCUAACGAUGAUCCUGGCGAUGACCUGCAGACCGACAGACGGAAUGUGUGAUGUUAUACACCGCAUAAAUGGCACCAAAAAUAGAAUGGAAAAGCUAUUGAAUAUAUUUCGCUUCAAAAACGGACAUUCUACUAGACAAUGGUGGAAACCAAUUUCAGAACUUAACUUGAAGAACUUGACCGAUGAAGGAAAAUUGCACAAAGCUCAAUGCGGACUUCUCUACAUGAAAAAGGCAGUUGAGCUGAUACGUGAACACCAACAUGAUCUACAUGGUCACGUGAUACACAUACCUGACAAUAUCACAACAGACUUAGAGCGUACCAGAGUAUGUGUUGAACAUGCUAUAGGCCAUUGCAACGAAAACAAGAUGAAGACUGACUUCCCUAAACCACAGACAUAUGAAAGAAAACAGUGGGGCGGCACUGUUCUUAACGUCUCUGUAGAGUUUCUGGAUGAGUUGGUGAAAGUCGUAAGACAUAAUGUGCAAACUAAGAUGACACCAAAAUCAAUCAUAUCAAAGAAUCACCAAAUCAAUACUGCUUGACACCAAAAAAUUGGUUCAUAUUAUUUGUCAACUGCACUUGUUAAUUUAUGAAAGAUUUUGUCACUUAUUUAUAAGAUCCUGUUAUUAACAGAAUUUGCAGUAUGUUCUCAUGAUAAAUAUGUUUGGAAAAGUUAUUUAUAUUUUUUGCACUUUUCAAUAUUUUUGUAUUUUAAGAAAAAAUUGUCAAUAUUUAACAUAAAAGUAUUUAUAUUUUUACUUCACCUAUAUUGUUUUGCAUUAUAAUUCAAUACAAAAAAUUGUUAUUUAUUAUAUAUAUUUGUACUUUUCAGUAUUUUGUAUUUUCAGUAAAAAAUAUUGUCACUCUAUUUAAAAUGGCAAUAUUUAUAUUAAUGCUACUUACUAUCAUA